CCUACGGGUGGCAGCAGUAGGGAAUCUUCCACAAUGGGCGAAAGCCUGAUGGAGCAACGCCGCGUGGGUGAAGAAGGUCUUCGGAUCGUAAAACCCUGUUGUUAGAGAAGAAAGUGGGUGAGAGUAACUGUUUACGUUUCGACGGUAUCUAACCAGAAAGCCACGGUCAACUACGUGCCAGCAGCCGCGGUAAUACGUAGGUGGCUAGCGUUAUCCGGAUUUGUUGGGCGUAAAGGGAACGCAGACGGGCUUUUAAGUCUGAUGUGAAAGGCUUCGGCUUAACCGGAGUAGUGCAUUGGAAACUGGGAGACUUGAGUGCAGAAGAGGUAGGUGGAACUCCAGGUGUAGCGGUGAAAUGCGUAGAUAUAAGGAAGAACACCGGUGGCGAAGGCGGCUCUCUGAUCUGUAACUGACGCUGAGGUUCGAAAGCGUGGGUAGCAAACAGGAUUAGAUACCCCAGUAGUC
rnacentral:rRNA from 1 species